rnacentral:rRNA from 1 species
GAUGAACGCUGGCGGCGUGCUUAACACAUGCAAGUCGAACGAAGCACUUUAUUUGAUUUCCUUCGGGACUGAUUAUUUUGUGACUGAGUGGCGGACGGGUGAGUAACGCGUGGGUAACCUGCCUUGUACAGGGGGAUAACAGUUGGAAACGGCUGCUAAUACCGCAUAAGCGCACGGCAUCGCAUGAUGCAGUGUGAAAAACUCCGGUGGUAUAAGAUGGACCCGCGUUGGAUUAGCUAGUUGGUGAGGUAACGGCCCACCAAGGCGACGAUCCAUAGCCGACCUGAGAGGGUGACCGGCCACAUUGGGACUGAGACACGGCCCAAGCUCCUACGGGAGGCAGCAGUGGGGAAUAUUGCACAAUGGGCGAAAGCCUGAUGCAGCGACGCCGCGUGAGCGAAGAAGUAUUUCGGUAUGUAAAGCUCUAUCAGCAGGGAAGAUAAUGACGGUACCUGACUAAGAAGCACCGGCUAAAUACGUG